rnacentral:rRNA from 1 species
AAUGAACGCUGGCGGCAUGCCUAACACAUGCAAGUCGAACGAAGCCUUCGGGCUUAGUGGCGCACGGGUGCGUAACGCGUGGGAAUCUGCCGUUGGGUUCGGAUUAACUCCCCGAAAGGAGUGCUUUUACCGGAUGAUCUCGCAAGACCAAAGAUUUAUCGCCGAGGGAUGAGCCCACGUAGGAUUAGCUAGUUGGUGAGGUAAAAGCUCACCAAGGCGACGAUCCUUAGCUGGUCUGAGAGGAUGAUCAGCCACACUGGGACUGAGACACGGCCCAGACUCCUACGGGAGGCAGCAGUGGGGAAUAUUGGACAAUGGGCGAAAGCCUGAUCCAGCAAUGCCGCGUGAGUGAUGAAGGCCUUAGGGUUGUAUAGCUCUUUUACCCGUGAUGAUAAUGACAGUACCGGGAGAAUAAGCCCCGGCUAACUCCGUGCCAGCAGCCGCCGCAG